ensembl:snRNA U6 U6 spliceosomal RNA
GUGCUGGCUUGGGCAGCACAUAUACUAAAAUUAGAACAGUGCAAAGAAGAUUAGCAUGUCCUCUGUGCAAGGAUGAAUGUAAAUUCGUAAGGCAUUCUAUAUUUAA